CCAGACUCCUACGGGAGGCAGCAGUGGGGAAUAUUGCACAAUGGGCGCAAGCCUGAUGCAGCCAUGCCGCGUGUAUGAAGAAGACNUUNGGGUUGUAAAGUACUUUCAGNGGGGAGGAAGGUGUUGUGGUUAAUAACCGCAGCAAUUGACGUUACCCGCAGAAGAAGCACCGGCUAACUCCGUGCCAGCAGCCGCGGUAAUANGGAGGGUGCAAGCGUUAAUCGGAAUUNNUGGGCGUAAAGNNCACGCAGNCGGUCUGUCAAGUCGGAUGUGAAAUCCCCGGGCUCAACCUGGGAACUGCAUUNGNANNUGGCAGGCUAGAGUCUUGUAGAGGGGGGUAGAAUUCCAGGUGUAGCGGUGAAAUGCGUAGAGAUCUGGAGGAAUACCGGUGGCGAAGGCGGCCCCCUGGACAAAGACUGACGCUCAGGUGCGAAAGCGUGGGGAGCAAACAGGAUUAGAUACCCUGGUAGUCCACGCCGUAAACGAUGUCGACUUGGAGGUUGUGCCCUUGAGGCGUGGCUUCCGGAGCUAACGCGUUAAGUCGACCNCNUGGGGAGUACGGCCGCAAG
rnacentral:rRNA from 1 species